UCAGACAUGGUGUGGUGGGAACACCUCUCUCAUUAAUCGGAAUUUGAUCAUAAGAGGUAAUCCAGGGUUCGAAUCCUUGUGUCUCUG